rnacentral:rRNA from 1 species
AUGAUGUCACUUAGUCGCGUCAAAGCUUUUGGGCCAGAGAUGGAGCCGGCUGAGAUGCUUGGUGGCUUUCCUGAAUUCAAUGUUAACGGCAGUCAGUUUUCUGCAACAGACUAUGCCCGUUGCGUGAAGGAAACGCGUGUCUUGGCGAGUCAACUAGUUCAAGAUCUUGAUUUGAACAAGUAUCAACCAGCUUAUGAUGAGGAGAACGCACAACUUAAGCCGCCAACCAUUGAACCUUUUGACCUGACUCCUACACACCAUAAGCAUAUCUUCACUCCUGAUGUCGAUCCAUCAAUUAUCCUGCAAGUCGAUGCCAUCUUCAAAGCUUUAACAACUAUUGACUAG